rnacentral:rRNA from 1 species
CCUGGUUGAUCCUGCCAGUAGUCAUAUGCUUGUCUCAAAGAUUAAGCCAUGCAUGUCUAAGUACACACUUUGUAAAGUGAAACCGCGAAUGGCUCAUUAAAUCAGCUACAAUUUAUUAGAUCGUACACUGUUACUUGGAUAACUGUGGGAAUUCUAGAGCUAAUACAUGCCGAGAGUCUCUGCUCUUCGGGGCAGAGCGCAGUUAUUAGACCAAAACCAGCCGUAUUCUUCGGGGUACGCUCCUUUGGUGACUCUGGAUAACCUUCAGCCGAUCGCAUGGCCUCGUGCCGGCGACGUAUCUUUCAAGUGUCUGCCCUAUCAACUUUCGAUGGUACGUGAUAUGCCUACCAUGGUGAUAACGGGUAACGGGGAAUCAGGGUUCGAUUCCGGAGAGGGAGCCUGAGAAAUGGCUACCACAUCCAAGGAUGGCAGCAGGCGCGCAAAUUACCCACUCCCAGCUUGGGGAGGUAGUGACGAAAAAUAACAAUGCGGGACUCUAAGAGGCCCCGUAAUUGGAAUGAGUACACCUUAAAUCGUUUAACGAGUAUCAAUUGGAGGGCAAGUCUGGUGCCAGCAGCCGCGGUAAUUCCAGCUCCAAUAGCGUAUAUUAAAGUUGCUGCAGUUAAAAAGCUCGUAGUUGGAUCUGGGGCUUGAGGUCGCUGUCUAUCGUUUCGGCGAUGACGGUGAUGCUCAGCUCUGCUUGCCGGUGACUGUUGCGGUGUUCUUCACUGAGCGCUGUAGCAGCACGGCACGUUUACUUUGAAAAAAUUAGAGUGCUCAAAGCGUUCUUGUCGCUUGAAUAAUGUUGCAUGGAAUAAUGGAAUAGGACCUCGGUUCUAUUUUGUUGGUUUUCGGAGCUUGAGGUAAUGAUUAAGAGGGACGAACGGGGGCAUUCGUAUUGCGGUGUUAGAGGUGAAAUUCUUGGAUCGCCGCAAGACGGACUACUGCGAAAGCAUUUGCCAAGAACGCUUUCAUUAAUUAAGAACGAAAGUCAGAGGUUCGAAGACGAUCAGACACCGUCCUAGUUCUGACCAUAAACGAUGCCGACCAGCGAUCCGUAGUGGUUGCUUUUAUGGACCCUACGGGCAGCCUCCGGGAAACCAAAGUAUUUGGGUUCCGGGGGAAGUAUGGUUGCAAAGCUGAAACUUAAAGGAAUUGACGGAAGGGCACACCAGGAGUGGAGCCUGCGGCUUAAUUUGACACAACACGGGAAAACUCACCCGGUCCGGACACCGUAAGGAUUGACAGACUGAUAGCUCUUUCUUGAUUCGGUGGAUGGUGGUGCAUGGCCGUUCUUAGUUGGUGGAGUGAUUUGUCUGGUUAAUUCCGAUAACGAACGAGACUCUAGCCUGCUAAGUAGUGUUGCUAUUGUUAUAUGGUUGACACUUCUUAGAGGGACAAGUGGCAUUUAGCCACGCGAAAUUGAGCAAUAACAGGUCUGUGAUGCCCUUAGAUGUCCGGGGCCGCACGCGCGCUACACUGGAGAAGUCAGCGUGUGUUAUCCAAGUCCGAAAGGACUGGGUAAUCCGUUGAACCUUCUUCGUGCUUGGGACUGUGGCUUGGAACUAUUCCACAUGAACGAGGAAUUCCUAGUAAUUGCAAGUCAUAAGCUUGCGUUGAUUACGUCCCUGCCCUUUGUACACACCGCCCGUCGCUACUACCGAUUGAAUGGUUUAGCAAGGUCCUCGGAUCGUGGCCGUAGGGGCACGCAAGUGUUUCUGCGGUUUGCGAGAAGACGACCAAACUUGAUCAUUUAGAGGAAGUAAAAGUCGUAACAAGGUU